GACGAACGCUGGCGGCGUGCUUAACACAUGCAAGUCGAACGGAAAGGCCCUGCUUGCGGGGUGCUCGAGUGGCGAACGGGGGAGUAACACGUGGGUGAUCUGCCCCUUACUUUGGGAUAAGCCUGGAGAACUGGGGGGAAUACUGGGGAGGAGAAUGCUGUAGGUGGGGUGGUGGAAGGAUUAGUUUCGGGGGGGGGUGAGGUCGCGGCGUAUCAGCGUGUUGGUGGGGGAAUGGGCUACCAAGGCGUCGACGGGGAGCCGGCCGGCGAGGGGGGGCGGCGGCAUCGGGACGGCGGUGCGGCCCCGCCUCCUACGGCAGGCAGCAGUGGGGGGGAUUGCUCAAUGGGCGGAAGACUGAUGAAGCGACGCCGCGUGGGGGAUGACGGCCUUCGGGUUGUAAAAUCCUUUCUGCGCUGACGAAGCCCUUGUGGUGACGGUAGUGGUAGAAGAAGCACCGGCUAACUACGUG
rnacentral:rRNA from 1 species